rnacentral:rRNA from 1 species
UACGGAGGGUGCAAGCGUUACUCGGAAUUACUGGGCGUAAAGCGUGCGUAGGCGGUUUGUUAAGUCCGUUGUGAAAGCCCUGGGCUCAACCUGGGAAUUGCAGUGGAUACUGGCGAGCUAGAGUGCGGUAGAGGAUGGUGGAAUUCCCGGUGUAGCGGUGAAAUGCGUAGAGAUCGGGAGGAACACCCGUGACGAAGGCGGCCAUCUGGACCAGCACUGACGCUGAGGCACGAAAGCGUGGGGAGCAAACAGG